AUUGUGUCAGCCGCCGUGCGGUAAUACGUAGGGGGCGAGCGUUGUCCGGAAUCACUGGGCGUAAAGGGCGUGUAGGCGGCUAGAGUAGUCGCAGGUGAAAUCCCACGGCUCAACCGUGGAACUGCCUGCGAAACCAUCUAGCUUGAGGACAGGAGAGGAAAGCGGAAUUCCUGGUGUAGCGGUGAAAUGCGUAGAUAUCAGGAGGAACAUCAGUGGCGAAGGCGGCUUUCUGGCCUGGUCCUGACGCUGAGGCGCGAAAGCUAGGGGAGCAAACAGGAUUAGAUACCCUGGUAGUCCUAGCUGUAAACGAUGGGUACUAGGUGUUGGUGGGCUCAUACCCAUCAGUGCCGCAGUUAACACAAUAAGUACCCCGCCUGGGGAGUACGGUCGCAAGACUGAAACUCAAAGGAAUUGACGGGGGCCCGCACAAGCGGUGGAGCAUGUGGUUUAAUUCGACGCAACGCGAAGAACCUUACCAAGGUUUGACAUGCCGGUUACCGAUCUGAAAAGUGAGGGACCCUUCGGGGAGCCGGCACAGGUGGUGCAUGGUUGUCGUCAGCUCGUGCCGUGAGGUGUUGGGUUAAGUCCCGCAACGAGCGCAACCCUUAUCUUUAGUUGCCAGCACAUAAAGGUGGGCACUCUAGAGAGACUGCCGUCGACAAGGCGGAGGAAGGUGGGGAUGACGUCAAAUCAUCAUGCCCUUUAUAUCUUGGGCUACACACGUGCUACAAUGGCCGGUACAACGGGAAGCGAAAGCGCGAGCCGGAGCCAAUCCCAAAAAACCGGUCCCAGUUCGGAUUGCAGGCUGCAACUCGCCUGCAUGAAGUCGGAAUCGCUAGUAAUCGCAGUCAGCAUACUGCGGUGAAUGCGUUCCCGGGCCUUGCACACACCGCCCGUCAAAU
rnacentral:rRNA from 1 species